CUUCACUUUAGUAUUCCGCGGACCGCAGCACGGAACGCACGUUCUGCUUGCUCCGACAUCCACAUAACAUAAACUUGCUAAUUGGUGUACUUUGUAAUCAACAAGUGAUAUCGAACAAGUUAAUAAGAUAUUGUAAUCCAAACUUACCGAUAGGAAAGCUUGUUUUCGUUGCAAGGACAGUGAUAUGAAAGUUUAGUUUGCGGGCUUAUAGUGAUAUUUUUGGUAAAUUUUGUUCAACUACGGGAUUUCUGCGUGCGAAAGAAUAAUAAGAUUUCGUACAGCUGAAGGUGGAUUCUUAAACGUUACUGGUUACUCCGCCGUUUUGGUAAGUUUUCGCACAUAUGCC